rnacentral:rRNA from 1 species
AGUGAACGCUGGCGGCGUGCCUAAUACAUGUAAGUCGAACGGAGUGGCGCACGGGUGAGUAAUGAAUAGCUAAUCUGCCCUACACUAGAGGACAACAGCUGGGAACGACUGCUAAUACUCCAUAGGGUAGGAUGAGGCUAUAUUGUAUCAGCUAGUUGGUGCGGUAAGGGCUCACCAAGGCUAUGACGCAUAACUGGUUUGAGAGGAUGAUCAGGCACACGGGAAGUGAGACACAGUCCCGACGCCUACGGGAGGGAGCAGUAGGGAAUAUUGCUCAAUGGGGGAGACCCUGAAGCAGCAACGCCGCGUGGAGGAUGACACUUUUCGGAGCGUAAACUCCUUUUGUUAGGGAAGCGGUACCUAACGAAUAAGCACCGGCUAACUCCGUGCCAGCAGCCGCGGUAAUUC